UCCCUCCUGAAGCUGUGUGCUCAGGGAAGAGGACGACUUUCCGGAAUACAGGAGGACUGGUCUUUGGUCAAGGGGAUACAAGUAGCUGUGCUCCCUGCUAGAACUUCCAAACAAGCUUUCAAAAAUGAAGAGCUUGGGCCGGGC
rnacentral:sRNA from 1 species